GGCUCUCGGUCGAGGAAUGAAC
rnacentral:miRNA from 1 species